UCCGUAUGUGAACCUGCGGAAGGAUCAUUA
rnacentral:rRNA from 1 species